rnacentral:rRNA from 1 species
GACGAGGGAUCCUAGCGUUGUUCGGAGUCAUUGGGCGUAAAGCGGGUGUAGGUGGCUUGGUAAGUCAGGUGUGAAAGCCCAGGGCUUAACCCUGGAAGUGCAUUUGAAACUGCCGAGCUUGAGUGUGGGAGAGGAUAGUGGAAUUCCUGGUGUAGUGGUGAAAUACGUAGAUAUCAGGAGGAACAUCGGUGGCGAAGGCGGCUAUCUGGCCCAACACUGACACUCAGACCCGAAAGCGUGGGGAUCAAACAGG